rnacentral:rRNA from 1 species
CCUACGGGAGGCAGCAGUGGGGAAUCUUGCACAAUGGAGGAAACUCUGAUGCAGCGAUGCCGCGUGAGUGAAGAAGGCCUUUGGGUUGUAAAGCUCUUUUGUAGGGGAAGAUAAUGACUGUACCCUAAGAAUAAGGUCCGGCUAACUUCGUGCCAGCAGCCGCGGUAAUACGAAGGGACCUAGCGUAGUUCGGAAUUACUGGGCGUAAAGCGCGCGUAGGCCGUUGAGUUAGUUAAUUGUGAAAUCCCAAAGCUUAACUUUGGAACUGCAAUUAAAACUACUCGACUAGAGUUUGAUAGAGGAAAGCGGAAUACAUAGUGUAGAGGUGAAAUUCGUAGAUAUUAUGUAGAACACCAGUUGCGAAGGCGGCUUUCUGGAUCAACACUGACGCUGAGGCGCGAAAGUAUGGGUAGCAAAGAGGAUUAGAUACCCUCGUAGUCCAUACCAUAAACGAUGAUUGCUAGAUGUUGGAAAUUUAUUUUCAGUAUCGCAGCUAACGCAUUAAGCAAUCCGCCUGGGGAGUACGACCGCAAGGUUAAACUCAAAGGAAUUGACGG